rnacentral:rRNA from 1 species
AUUGAACGCUGGCGGCAGGCCUAACACAUGCAAGUCGAGCGGAUGAAGGGAGCUUGCUCCUGGAUUCAGCGGCGGACGGGUGAGUAAUGCCUAGGAAUCUGCCUGGUAGUGGGGGAUAACGUCCGGAAACGGGCGCUAAUACCGCAUACGUCCUGAGGGAGAAAGUGGGGGAUCUUCGGACCUCACGCUAUCAGAUGAGCCUAGGUCGGAUUAGCUAGUUGGUGGGGUAAAGGCCUACCAAGGCGACGAUCCGUAACUGGUCUGAGAGGAUGAUCAGUCACACUGGAACUGAGACACGGUCCAGACUCCUACGGGAGGCAGCAGUGGGGAAUAUUGGACAAUGGGCGAAAGCCUGAUCCAGCCAUGCCGCGUGUGUGAAGAAGGUCUUCGGAUUGCAAAGCACUUUAAGUUGGGAGGAAGGGAAGUAAGUUAAUACCUUGCUGUUUUGACGUUACCAACAGAGUAAGCACCGGCUAACUUCGUG